rnacentral:rRNA from 1 species
AUGGCUCUCGAGGCCAUCCUUCGCCUUGAUGUGGCCCAAAAAAAUAGAGUGUUUUUUGCUGAUAAGUGGGAUCUCAAGAAAAAACUCAAAAGAAGAGUGCUUGGUUUAACCACUUUCAAGAGUGCUUGCAAGGGGCAAUGCUCCAGAAUUACCAAUCUGAACGAGGGAUAUGUAAAUAUUUUGACAUCUGAAUCAACCAUAGAAGAAGAAGAACAGAAAAAUAUCCACCGCCUCAAGCAUGGCCCUGGGUGGGUUACUAUACAUGAGCACAAGGAGGUUGUCGUCCAAAAGCAUUUGUCAACCAUCAUGAAAAAAGAGGUGCCUAGGCAAAAGGAUUUUAAUUGGGAUUGUAUUCCCAAGCUAAUUUGUGAUCUUUGA